rnacentral:rRNA from 1 species
AGCCAGACUCCUACGGGAGGCAGCAGUGAGGAAUAUUGGUCAAUGGGCGAGAGCCUGAACCAGCCAAGUCGCGUGAAGGAUGACGGCCCUACGGGUUGUAAACUUCUUUUGUCAGGGAGCAAUUGAGUCCACGUGUGGGCUUAGCGAGAGUACCUGAAGAAAAAGCAUCGGCUAACUCCGUGCCAGCAGCCGCGGUAAUACGGAGGAUGCGAGCGUUAUCCGGAUUUACUGGGUGUAAAGGGAGCGUAGACGGCAGCGCAAGUCUGGAGUGAAAUGCCGGGGCCCAACCCCGGAACUGCUUUGGAAACUGUGCAGCUGGAGUGCAGGAGAGGUAAGCGGAAUUCCUAGUGUAGCGGUGAAAUGCGUAGAUAUUAGGAGGAACACCAGUGGCGAAGGCGGCUUACUGGACUGUAACUGACGUUGAGGCUCGAAAGCGUGGGGAGCAAACAGGAUUAGAUACCCGCGUAA